UACUGGGCGUAAGCGUGCGCAGGCGGUUUUGUAAGACAGGCGUGAAAUCCCCGGGCUCAACCUGGGAAUGGCGCUUGUGACUGCAAGGCUAGAGUGCGUCAGAGGGGGGUAGAAUUCCACGUGUAGCAGUGAAAUGCGUAGAGAUGUGGAGGAAUACCGAUGGCGAAGGCAGCCCCCUGGGACGUGACUGACGCUCAUGCACGAAAGCGUGGGGAGCAAACAGGAUUAGAUACCCUGGUAGUCCACGCCCUAAACGAUGUCAACUAGUUGUUGGGGAUUCAUUUCUUCAGUAACGAAGCUAACGCGUGAAGUUGACCGCCUGGGGAGUACGGUCGCAAGAUUAAAACUCAAAGGAAUUGACGGGGACCCGCACAAGCGGUGGAUGAUGUGGAUUAAUUCGAUGCAACGCGAAAAACCUUACCUACCCUUGACAUGCCACUAACGAAGCAGAGAUGCAUUAGGUGCCCGAAAGGGGAAAGUGGACACAGGUGCUGCAUGGCUGUCGUCAGCUCGUGUCGUGAGAUGUUGGGUUAAGUCCCGCAACGAGCGCAACCCUUGUCUCUAGUUGCUACGAAAAGGGCACUCUAAAGAGACUGCCGGUGACAAACCGGAGGGAAGGUGGGGAUGACGUCAAAUCCUCAUAGGCGCUU
rnacentral:rRNA from 1 species